rnacentral:rRNA from 1 species
CGUAGGGACCAAGCGUUGUUCGGAUUUACUGGGCGUAAAGGGCGCGUAGGCGGCGUGGUAAGUCACUUGUGAAAUCUCUGAGCUUAACUCAGAACGGCCAAGUGAUACUGCUGUGCUUGAGUGUGGAAGGGGCAAUCGGAAUUCUUGGUGUAGCGGUGAAAUGCGUAGAUAUCAAGAGGAACACCUGAGGUGAAGACGGGUUGCUGGGCCAACACUGACGCUGAGGCGCGUAAGCCAGGGGAGCAAACGGGAUUAGAUACCCCGGUAGUCCUGGCCCUAAACGAUGAAUACUUGGUGUCUGGAGUUUUAGUGCUCCGGGUGCCGUCGCUAACGUUUUUAGUAUUCCGCCUGGGGAGUACGCUCGCAAGAGUG